UACGUAGGGGGCAAGCGUUGUCCGGAAUUAUUGGGCGUAAAGCGCGUGUAGGCGGCCAGAAAAGUCCGCUGUGAAAACUCGAGGCUCAACUUCGAGCUGUCGGUGGAAACUUUCUGGCUAGAGUCCGGAAGAGGAGAAUGGAAUUCCUGGUGUAGCGGUGAAAUGCGCAGAUAUCAGGAAGAACACCCGUGGCGAAGGCGGUUCUCUGGGCAGUUACUGACGCUGAGGAGCGAAAGCGUGGGGAGCGAACAGG
rnacentral:rRNA from 1 species